UACGUAGGGGGCUAGCGUUGUCCGGAAUCAUUGGGCGUAAAGCGCGUGUAGGCGGCCCGAUAAGUCCGCUGUGAAAGUCCAGGGCUCAACCCUGGGAUGCCGGUGGAUACUGUCGGGCUCGAGUCCGGAAGAGGCGAGUGGAAUUCCUGGUGUAGCGGUGAAAUGCGCAGAUAUCGGGAGGAACACCAAUGGCGAAGGCAGCUCGCUGGGACGUGACUGACGCUGAGACGCGAAAGCGUGGGGAGCAAACAGG
rnacentral:rRNA from 1 species